AUUGAACGCUGGCGGCACGCCUAACACAUGCAAGUCGAGCGGCAGCGAGACUAGUCGCAAUACUAGUUGUCGGCGGGCUGCGGACGGGUGAGUAACACGUAGGAAUCUGCCCUUAAGCGGGGGAUAACCACGGGAAACUUUGGCUAAUACCGCAUAAUCUCGCGAGAGCAACGCUGCCCGCAAGGGUGGCACCUUAGGCGGAGACUGCUUCCGAAUAGCUAGUGGGUGGGGUAAUGGCCUACCAAGUCGAUGAUCGGUAACUGGUCUGAGAGGACGACCAGUCACUCUGGGACUGAGACACGGCCCAGACUCCUACGGGAGGCAGCAGUGGGGAAUAUUGGACAAUGGGGGCAACCCUGAUCCAACGAUGCCGCGUGAGUGAAGAAGGCCUUCGGGUCGUAAAGCUCUUUAGGUUGGGAAGAAGGGUAUUGGCUGAAUAAUCCAGUACUUAGACGGUACCGACAGAAUAAGCACCGGCAAACUCUGUGCCAGCCGCCGCAGUAAAAC
rnacentral:rRNA from 1 species